rnacentral:rRNA from 1 species
CAGCAGCCGCGGGAAUACGGAGGGGGCUAGCGUUGUUCGGAAUUACUGGGCGUAAAGCGCACGUGGGCGGCUUGGUAAGUUAGAGGUGAAAGCCUGGAGCUCAACUCCAGAAUUGCCUUUAAGACUGCCGAGCUAGCAGGUGAGAGAGGUAAGUGGAAUUCCGAGUGUAGAGGUGAAAUUCGUAGAUAUUCGGAAGAACACCAGUGGCGAGGGCGGCUUACUGGCUCAUACUGGACGCUGAGGUGCGAAAGCGUGGGGAGCAAACAGGAUUAGAUACCCCGUAGUCCCUGUCUCUUAUACC